UACGUAGGGGGAAAGCGUUGUCCGGAUUUAUUGGGCGUAAAGAGCGUGUAGGCGGCCAGGUAGGUCCGUUGUGAAAACUCGAGGCUCAACCUCGAGACGUCGAUGGAAACCAUCUGGCUAGAGUCCGGAAGAGGAGAGUGGAAUUCCUGGUGUAGCGGUGAAAUGCGCAGAUAUCAGGAAGAACACCCGUGGCGAAGGCGGCUCUCUGGGACGGUACUGACGCUGAGACGCGAAAGCGUGGGGAGCGAACAGG
rnacentral:rRNA from 1 species